GAAAUGCGAUAAGUAAUGUGAAUUGCAGAAUUCAGUGAAUCAUCGAAUCUUUGAACGCACAUUGCGCCCGCCAGUAUUCUGGCGGGCAUGCCUGUCCGAGCGUCAUUUCAACCAUCAAGCCCCCGGGCUUGUGUUGGGGACCUGCGGCUGCCCGCAGGCCCUGAAAACCAGUGGCGGGCUCGCUGUCACACCGAGCGUAGAAGCAAUCACCUCGCUCAGGGCGUGCUGCGGGUUCCGGCCGUUAAACAGCCUUACAAAACCCAAGGUUGACCUCGGAUCAGGUAGGAAGACCCGCUGAACUUAAGC
rnacentral:misc_RNA from 1 species